AGCGAACGCUGGCGGCAGGCCUAAUACAUGCAAGUCGAACGGACCCUCCGGGGUUAUUGGCGGCUGGGUGUGUCAGCCGUGGGAACGUGCAUUUAGGUUCGGAAUAGCUCUUGGAAAGGGGUGGCAAUGCCGAAUGUGACCUUCUGGGGAAAGAUUUAUCGCCAUUAGGGCGGCCCGCGUCUGAUAAGGUUGUUGGGGAGGUUACGGAUGCACCAGGCGCCGAUUAGUAGCUGGGCUGAGAGGAAGGCUAGCCACCCUGGGAGUAGGACCCGGCCCGGACUCCUACGGAAUGCGGGAAGGCGGAAUCUUGCACAAUGGGCGAAAGCCUGACGGAGCCAUGCCGCGUGAAUGAUGAAGGUCUUAGAAUAGAAAAAUUCUUUCACCGGGGACGAUAAUGACGGUACCCAGAGAAGAAGCCCCGGCUAACUUCGUG
rnacentral:rRNA from 1 species